GAGGGGACAGUGGCGGAAGGGUCAGUAAUGGGAUCGAAUGUACCCUGAGGUGGAGGAUAGCGUCGGGAAACUGACGGUAAUNCUCCAUGUCCUCUACGGAGAAAAGAUUUAUCGCCUUGGGAGCAGCGAUCCUCCUAUCAGGUAGUUGGAGGGGUAAAAGCCCACCAAGCCGAAGACGGGUAGCGGGUGUGAGAGCACGGCCCGCGACAUCGAGACUGAGNCACUGCUCGGACUCCUACGGGAGGCUGCAGUAACGAAUAUUCCGCAAUGCGCGAAAGCGUGACGGAGCAAUGCCGCGUGCAGGAUGAAGCGAGUUUUGCCGUGUAAACUGCUGUCAGGGAUAAGAAAUACUGAUCUAUCCCAGAGGAAGGGGCGACUAACUCUGUGCCAGCAGUCGCGGUAAUACAGAGGCCCCGAGCGUUAAUCGGAAUCACUGGGCUUAAAGGGUGCGUAGGCGGGCCAGUAAGCGCUUUGUGAAAUCCCCCGGCUCAACCGGGGAACCGCAGGGCGAACUGCUGGUCUUGAGGAAGCUAGAGGCUGGUAGAACGAUAGGUGGAGCGGUGGAAUGCGUAGAGAUCUAUCGGAGUGCCGAAAGUGAAGACAGCCAGCUGGGGCUUUCCUGACGCUAAAGCACGAAAGCGUGGGGAGCAAGCCGGAUUAGAUACCCGGGUAGUCCACGCCCUAAACGAUGUGCACUAGACUGGAGCGGCUCUGACGUCGUUCUGGUCGUAGAGAAACUGUUAAGUGCACCGCCUGGGUAGUACGGUCGCAGGCUAAAACUCAAAGGAAUUGACGGAUCACUA
rnacentral:rRNA from 1 species